GACGUAGGGCGCGAGCGUUGUCCGGAUUUAUUGGGCGUAAAGCGCUCGUAGGCGGCUUGUCGCGUCGGCCGUGAAAACCUGCAGCUCAACUGCAGGCUUGCGGUCGAUACGGGCAGGCUAGAGUUCGGAAGAGGCGAGUGGAAUUCCUGGUGUAGCGGUGAAAUGCGCAGAUAUCAGGAAGAACACCAAUGGCGAAGGCAGCUCUCUGGGACGGUACUGACGCUGAGACGCGAAAGCGUGGGGAGCGAACAGG
rnacentral:rRNA from 1 species